rnacentral:rRNA from 1 species
AGAGUUUGAUCAUGGCUCAGAAUGAACGCUGGCGGCGCGCCUAAUACAUGCAAGUCGAGCGAGAAGACGUAGCAAUACGUUUGUAAAGCGGCGAACGGGUGAGGAAUACAUGGGUAACCUACCCUCGAGUGGGGAAUAACUAGCCGAAAGGUUAGCUAAUACCGCGUACGCUCCUUGGACUUCGGUUCAGGGAGGAAAGCGAUACCGUGGGUAUCGCGCUCUUGGAUGGGCUCAUGUCCUAUCAGCUUGUUGGUGAGGUAACGGCUCACCAAGGCUUCGACGGGUAGCUGGUCUGAGAGGACGAUCAGCCACACUGGCACUGCGACACGGGCCAGACUCCUACGGGGGGCAGCAGUAAGGAAUAUUGCGCAAUGGGCGAAAGCCUGACGCAGCGACGCCGCGUGGGGGAUGAAGGUCUUCGGAUUGUAAACCCCUUUCGGGAGGGAAGAUGGAAUGGGGUAACCCAUUUGGACGGUACCUCCAGAAGCAG